rnacentral:rRNA from 1 species
GAUGAACGCUGGCGGCGUGCCUAAUACAUGCAAGUCGAGCGGACAGACGAGGAGCUUGCUCCUCUGACGUUAGCAGCGGAGGGCGGAUGAAUAAGAGGAUAACCUACCUCUAACACUGGGAGAAUUACGGCAAACAGGAGCUAAUACCGGAUAAUAUAUUGAAUCGCUUGGUUCAAUAGUGAGAGACAGUUUUGCUGUCGCUUAUAGAUGGCUUCGCGCCGCAUUAGCUAGUUGGUGAGGUAACGGCUUACCAAGGCAACGAUGCGUAGCCGACCUGAGAGGGUGGUCGACCACCACGGAACUGAGACACGAUCCUGACUACUACGGCAGGAAGCAGUAGGGAAUAUUACGCAAUGGGCGGAAGACUGCUGGAGCAACGUCGCGUGAUUGGUGAUGGUCUUCUGAUCGUAGAACUCUUCUAUUAGGGAAGAACAAAUGCUUAAGUAACUGUGCAUGUCUUGACGGUACCUGAUCAGAAAGCCCCGGCUAACUACGUG